CUAAUACCCAAUGAUAUCUCUAGAAGGCAUCUGAAAGAGAUUAAAGAUUUAUCGGUGAUGGAUGGGGAUGCGUCUGAUUAGCUUGUUGGCGGGGUAACGGCCCACCAAGGCAACGAUCAGUAGGGGUUCUGAGAGGAAGGUCCCCCACAUUGGAACUGAGACACGGUCCAAACUCCUACGGGAGGCAGCAGUGAGGAAUAUUGGUCAAUGGACGAGAGUCUGAACCAGCCAAGUAGCGUGCAGGAAGACGGCCCUAUGGGUUGUAAACUGCUUUUAUAAGGGAAUAAAGUGAGUCUCGUGAGACUUUUUGCAUGUACCUUAUGAAUAAGGACCGGCUAAUUCCGUGCCAGCAGCCGCGGUAAUACGGAAGGUCCGGGCGUUAUCCGGAUUUAUUGGGUUUAAAGGGAGCGUAGGCCGGAGAUUAAGCGUGUUGUGAAAUGUAGAUGCUCAACAUCUGAACUGCAGCGCGAACUGGUUUCCUUGAGCACGCACAAAGUGGGCGGAAUUCGUGGUGUAGCGGUGAAAUGCUUAGAUAUCACGAAGAACUCCGAUUGCGAAGGCAGCUCACUGGAGCGCAACUGACGCUGAAGCUCGAAAGUGCGGGUAUCGAACAGGAUUAGAUACCCUGGUAGUCCGCACGGUAAAC
rnacentral:rRNA from 1 species